CGGUGGGCAGGCCUAAUACAUGCAAGUCGGACGGGAUCCAUCGGAGAGCUUGCUCGAAGAUGGUGAGAGUGGCGCACGGGUGCGUAACGCGUGAGCAACCUACCUCUAUCAGGGGGAUAGCCUCUCGAAAGAGAGAUUAACACCGCAUAAUAUAAUUUCCCGGCAUCGAGGAAUUAUUAAAUAUUUAUAGGAUAGAGAUGGGCUCGCGUGACAUUAGCUAGUUGGUAGGGUAACGGCUUACCAAGGCGACGAUGUCUAGGGGCUCUGAGAGGAGAAUCCCCCACACUGGUACUGAGACACGGACCAGACUCCUACGGGAGGCAGCAGUAAGGAAUAUUGGUCAAUGGGCGGAAGCCUGAACCAGCCAUGCCGCGUGCAGGAAGACUGCCCUAUGGGUUGUAAACUGCUUUUGUCCAGGAAUAAACCUAGAUACGUGUAUCUAGCUGAAUGUACUGGAAGAAUAAGGAUCGGCUAACUCCGUGCCAGCAGCCGCGGUAAUACGGAGGAUCCGAGCGUUAUCCGGAUUUAUUGGGUUUAAAGGGUGCGUAGGCGGCCUAUUAAGUCAGGGGUGAAAUACGGUGGCUCAACCAUCGCAGUGCCUUUGAUACUGAUGGGCUUGAAUCCAUUUGAAGUGGGCGGAAUAAGACAAGUAGCGGUGAAAUGCAUAGAUAUGUCUUAGAACUCCGAUUGCGAAGGCAGCUCACUAAGCUGGUAUUGACGCUGAUGCACGAAAGCGUGGGGAUCGAACAGGAUUAGAUACCCUGGUAGUCCACGCCCUAACGAUGAUAACUCGAUGUUGGCGAUAGACAGCCAGCGUCCCAGCGAAAGCGUUAAGGUUAUCCACCUGGGAA
rnacentral:rRNA from 1 species